ensembl:snRNA U6 U6 spliceosomal RNA
GUGCUGGCUUCUGCAGCACAGACACUAAAAUUGGAAUGAUACAGAGAAGGUUCAUGUGACCCCUGUGUGAGGAUGACAUGUAAAUUCAUAAAGUGUUCCAUAUUUAG